UGAGGAAUAUUGGGCAAUGCCCGCAAGGGUGACCCAGCAACGCCGCGUGGAGGAUGAAUGUCGUAAGAUUGUAAACUCCUGUUAGAGGGGAAGAAUAGUACCGGUUGGACCGGUAUAUGACUGUACCCUCAGAGAAAGCCCCGGCUAACUACGUGCCAGCAGCCGCGGUAAUACGUAGGGGGCAAGCGUUGUCCGGAUUUACUGGGUGUAAAGGGCGCGCAGGCGGGAUAAAAAGUCAGUGGUGAAAUCCUAUAGCUUAACUGUAGAACUGCCUUUGAUACUUUUAUUCUUGAGUUCGGGAGAGAGAGACGGAAUUCCAGGUGUAGUGGUGAAAUACGUAGAUAUCUGGAAGAACACCAGUUGCGAAGGCGGUCUCUUGGUCCGACACUGACGCUGAGGCGCGAAAGCGUGGGGAGCAAACA
rnacentral:rRNA from 1 species